rnacentral:rRNA from 1 species
CCUACGGGGGGCAGCAGUCGAGAAUCAUUCACAAUGGGGGAAACCCUGAUGGUGCGACGCCGCGUGGGGGAAUGAAGGUCUUCGGAUUGUAAACCCCUGUCAUGUGGGAGCAAAUUAAAAAGAUAGUACCCCAAGAGGAAGAGACGGCUAACUCUGUGCCAGCAGCCGCGGUAAUACAGAGGUCUCAAGCGUUGUUCGGAAUCACUGGGCGUAAAGCGUGCGUAGGCUGUUUCGUAAGUCGUGUGUGAAAGGCGCGGGCUCAACCCGCGGACGGCACAUGAUACUGGGAGGCUAGAGUAAGGGAGGGGGAACCGGAAUUCUCGGUGUAGCAGUGAAAUGCGUAGAGAUGGAGAGGAACACUCGUGGCGAAGGCGGGUUCCUGGACAUGAACUGACGCUGAGGCACGAAGGCCAGGGGAGCGAAAGGGAUUAGAUACCCGGGUAGUC